GAUCAAGCUACAAAGGGCGCAUGGUGAAUGCCUUGGCACCAGUAGCCGAUGAAGGACGUGAUAAGCUGCGAUAAGCUCUGAGUAGGCGCAAAUAGCCAGUGAUCCAGAGAUUUCCGAAUGGGGAAACCCACAUACUUAACGGUAUGUACCAUAAAUUGAAUUCAUAGAUUUAUGGAGGGAUACCCGGGGAACUGAAACAUCUAAGUACCCGGAGGAAGAGAAAGAAAAAUCGAUUUUCUAAGUAGCGGCGAGCGAAAGGGAAAGAGCCCAAACCAGAAACUUGUUUCUGGGGUUGCGGAUAGACCAUAAUAAAAGUAGGACUUAGUUGAAGAGAGCUGGAAGGCUCCGCCGUAGAAGGUAAAAGCCCUGUAAACGAAAAGGAAAGCUUUAAGGUCUAAUCCAGAGUACCACGAGACACGUGAAACCUUGUGGGAAGCAGGGAGGACCACCUCCCAAGGCUAAAUACUAACUGGUGACCGAUAGUGGAGUAGUACCGUGAGGGAAAGGUGAAAAGAACCCCGGGAGGGGAGUGAAAUAGAACCUGAAACCGUGUGCCUACAACCGGUCGAAGCACAUUAACGUGUGACGACGUGCUUUUUGCCAGCGAGUUACGGUAUGUAGCAAGGUUAAGCACUUAAGGUGCGGAGCCGAAGGGAAAAAUAGGGCGACUAGUUGCAUGCCGUAGACCCGAAACCGGGUGACCUAUCCAUGGACAGGUUGAAGCGGAAGUAAAAUUCCGUGGAGGACCGAACCACAUUGGUGUUGAAAAACCAUGGGAUUUGUCUUAGAAAUUCCAAUCGAACUCGGAGAUAGCUGGUUCUCCUCGAAAUAGCUUUAGGGCUAGCGUCUGGAAAUUGAGUAAUGGAGGUAGAGCACUGAAUGGGCUAGGGGCUGACAACAGUUACUGAACCCUAUCAAACUCCGAAUGCCAUAUACUUUUAUCCAGGCAGUCAGACUACGAAUGAUAAGAUCCGUGGUCAAAAGGGAAACAGCCCAGACCAUCAGCUAAGGUCCCUAAGUGUAAGUUAAGUGGAAAAGGAUGUGGGAUUUCUAAGACAACUAGGAUGUUGGCUUAGAAGCAGCCACUCAUUUAAAGAGUGCGUAAUAGCUCACUAGUCAAGAGAUCCUGCGCCGAAGAUGUCCGGGGCUCAAACUUACCACCGAAGCUAUGGAUGUGCACUACGUGCACGUGGUAGAGGAGCUUCCUGUAUGGGUUGAAGUCGUACCGAAAGGAACGGUGGACUGUACAGGAGUGAGUAUGCUGGCAUAAGUAGCGAGAAAUAAGUGAGAAUCUUAUUGGUCGAAAACCUAAGGUUUCCUGAGGAAGGUUCGUCCGCUCAGGGUUAGUCGGGACCUAAGCCGAGGCCGAAAGAUGGACAAUCGGUUGAUAUUCCGAUACCGCCAACUUGCGUUUGACAAAUGGGGUGACACAGAAGGAUAAGGUGUGCGCACUAUUGGAUGUGCGUCUAAGCAUUUAGGAGUGACUGGCAGGCAAAUCCGCCAGUUGAAUCUGAGGUGUUACGGGGAGCUAAUUUUUAGCGAAGUACCUGAUUCCACACUGUCAAGAAAAGCCUCUAUGGAGUAAGUUGGUGCCCGUACCGCAAACCGACACAGGUAGGUGAGGAGAGAAUCCUAAGACCAUUGUUGUUAAGGAACUCGGCAAAUUAGCCCCGUAACUUCGGGAGAAGGGGUGCCACCUUAAUAGGUGGCCGCAGUGAAUAGGCCCAAGCAACUGUUUAGCAAAAACACAGGUCUCUGCUAAAGCGAAAGCUGAUGUAUAGGGGCUGACGCCUGCCCGGUGCUGGAAGGUUAAGGGGAUCCGUUAACGCAAGUGAAGCGGUGAACUUAAGCCCCAGUAAACGGCGGCCGUAACUAUAACGGUCCUAAGGUAGCGAAAUUCCUUGUCGGGUAAGUUCCGACCCGCACGAAUGGCGUAAUGACUUGGGCACUGUCUCAACAACAAAUCCGGCGAAAUUGUAGUGCAAGUGAAGAUGCUUGCUACCCGCGAUUGGACGGAAAGACCCCGUAGAGCUUUACUGUAGCUUAGCAUUGAAUUUCGGUAUUGUCUGUACAGGAUAGGUGGGAGACUUGGAAA
rfam:Clostridium tetanomorphum DSM 665 contig225, whole genome shotgun sequence.